UACGUAGGCAGCGAGCGUUGUUCGGAUUUACUGGGCGUAAAGGGUGUGCAGGCGGUUCUUUAAGUUUGGUGUGAAAUCUCCCGGCUCAACCGGGAGGGUGCGCCGAAUACUGAGGGACUUCGAGUGCGGGAGAGGAAAGUGGAAUUCCUGGUGUAGCGGUGAAAUGCGUAGAUAUCAGGAGGAACACCGGUGGUGUAGACGGCUUUCUGGACCGUAACUGACGCUGAGACACGAAAGCGUGGGUAGCAAACAGG
rnacentral:rRNA from 1 species